UGGGGAAUAUUUGCACAAUGGGGGAAAACCCUGAUGCAGCCAUGCCGNCGUGUUUGAAAAAAGCCUUUNGGGUUUUNAAAGCACUUUCANGUAGGGGAGAAAAGNUUGACNGNUUAAUACCCNNUNNGCUGUGACGUUCCNUACAGNAAGAAGGACCGGCUAACUCCNGUGCCAGCAGCCGCGGNUAAUACGGAGGGUNCCGAGCGUUANUCGGAANUANCUGGGCGUAAAGCGUGCGCAGGCGGUUUUUUAAGCGAGAUGUGAAAGCCCCGGGNCUCANCCUGGGAAUUGCAUUUGNAACUGGCAAACUAGAGUCUUUGUAGAGGGGGGUAGAAUUUCAGGUGUAGCGGUGAAAUGCGUAGAGAUCUGAAGGAAUACCGGUGGCGAAGGCGGCCCCCUGGACAAAGACUGACGCUCAUGCACGAAAGCGUGGGGAGCAAACAGGAUUAGAUACCCUGGUAGUCCACGCCGUAAACGAUGUCUACUCGGAGUUUGGUGUCUUGAACACUGGGCUCUCAAGCUAACGCAUUAAGUAGACCGCCUGGGGAGACGGCCG
rnacentral:rRNA from 1 species